GCCUCUCACACACACAGCCUGCAGCCGGCUGACACUGUAAAUCAUUUCAGACAGUUUCCUACGUCACAGCCUCAGUUCAGUUUGACCCGGAUAUGUACACUGCCGCUCGUCUUUAAGAGACGUCAACAGGUCCGCAGAUUCUCCAGGAAUAUCAACAAAAACACAGCUUUUUAUGGGCCACGGCGGGUCCACAAAUUUUCACUGUAGUCAAGCAAUCACCGUGACCUCUGCCGUCCAAUCACCUGAUCUGGCCUCGACCUCCGCCGACAACAAACACCUGUACUUCUUUCUACUGAUCUUCAGAUGCCUCGCAUCCUCCACCAAAUGAAGCGAGAUCGAUCAACUGGAGACCAGACAACAAACGACGGAGGCACCAGACAAAUGCGAUCAAACGAUGACUUUAUUAACACAGGAGAGGAAACAUCAGCAUAUGUCUUCCUCUGACAAAAAUUCAUUGAAUGCUGGUUUUAUAGCAUAGAAAAUUAACACCCACACAUACACGUCAAUACCAGUCAAAAAUACAUUGUGUACAGUCAUGAGCACAUCUUGUACAUCUUAAUAACUAUAAACAGUCAUGUAACUUCUCUUUUCUAUAACACUUGCCUUUUAAGGUAAUAAACCUCAAGCUUCAGGGUCUCUAAGGGCUAAUAAUGGACCCUCAUCACCAAUCACUAAGUAGACAGAAUCGCAGCCGGUCUCAAAGAAAAGCAGAAGACACUUGGGCCUUCGCUCAGGCCUGCUACUAGAUUAAUUUGUGUAUUGUAAGCAUGCAUGCAAUUAACCUGCUAUGUUCUCAUCUUCCCUCAACAUGUAUCACCUGGACACUCUCACCAGUGAAGCUUAAAACCCUCUUGGAUGGAACAUCAACUCCAAAUCAACAUAGAUAUGCAAUGUGUAUAAAAUGAACUAAACCUGUGAAUAGAAUGAAUGUGAUGACAAACAUAUUCAAUGCAAUAUGAACCCUAUAAGAAAUAUUACUGAUAAAAUAAUACUGUAAAACAUGUUAUUAAUACAUUCAUCAUAAGGCAGGUUAUAUGGUAACAAUAAAAGAAUCUCUGAAUCCUAACAUUUCCCACUGCUGAGGAGACCAUGCGCUACAAUCCAAUACCCACUGGUAUCACUCCAGGGCCCACCCUGUAUGCAGUUGCCCGCAUUAGCUCCCUGAGAUCUGCAUUUGACCUGUUUGUGACAGACGAGAUCAUUCAGCUGCUGUGCAC
ensembl:lncRNA